UAGUGCUGAGUUCUUAUUUUUCCAAUUCGAGGAUUAUGGAAGUUUGAUUCUACAAGACCAGGACGGAGAGGGUCAGAGGGUGAGAAGUGGAGAAACUUAACGGAGACAAUGUUGGGACCAGCGAAGAAGCGGAAACAAAGUUGUGAGUGGCGGAGAGACGGAGAUCCAACCGGAGACCGAGUAGAUGUCGCCCGAUAUAGUCUCCGGAGAUGAUGGCGGGGUGGAGCAUGGAGUCGUCGAGAGAGGCGCAAAUGAGAAGUCUAAAUCCCUAACAUUAAGCCUUUAUGUAUAUAUAUUGAUUUCUGACCACUUACGGUGGUCGGGCAAAAGAUAAAUGUAAAUAAUUUUAAAUGGCCGGAAAACAUUUCCGACCACCCUUUAAAGUGGUCGGAAAUUCCAACCAUUUUCCGCUCAACUCCUCGACGGAAAAAGGAAAAAUAUCACAUUUUCCGACCUUUGUUGUGGGUGGUCGGAAAUUGGAAGAUUUCCAGCAGUGAUUGAACAUGAAUGAAUAAUUAAGGUUUUAGAAAGUAGUACCGUUUAUCGAGGAUAUAGAGCACUCAUGUUGAUAACGUGUUGUGAAAUCGAAUGUAUCCUUGUGUGAAUAGUUGUAUGGUUUCAAUUGUAGUAAAGUAAAGAGCAAAUGAGAAAGACAGAGAAUAUGGAGAGAAUGAUGGAUCAUCUU